GUCAAAUUGUUUUUUUGUACUUAUGUUUCUUCGGCUAGUAAAUGGUCUAGGGAAGUGCGAAUCAUUGUUAUCAUUGUAGUGUAUAAGUGAUAUAAAUUUAAGAUACCAAUCGCUACAAUAUGUGGCGCUAAAACUAACUGUCGAAUCUCUUGUUAGAAAGACAAUAGUCUUUUUCAUUUGAUUUAAAUUUGAUAUCUCAUGUAUGGCCGCCAUUUUCUACUGGAAGUGAAAAAAAAAAAAUCUAGCACUUUUAUUGAAGUUAAUUUAAAAAAAAACGUACAUAAGCAAUUAAAUAAUUUAACUAAAAAAUAUAUACAAAAUCUGAGUUACGAAUUUGUUAAAUUACAUUAUUUCCAUCACUGCUUAAUUACGGUUAUAAAUAAUCAGGAAUUAAGUUAUAUAAAUCAACAAUACGAUAAAAAAUAACAAGAAUUGACAAAAUGAGCACUCCGCCAGAAAUUAUUGAUAUAACCAGCGACGAUGAAGCUAACGGUCCAGAUGUAGAGAACCAGGAUGAAGUUGUCCAGCAACAACAAGUAAAUAUAACUCCACCGGCUGCAAAAUUUACAUGUACGUUCUGCGAAGAAAAAUUUCCAACUCUGGGGUGUUUAAUAUUGCAUAAAUCCGUACAUAAAGUAUUUGGCCUAUAUUACUGUGAAAUAUGUCAAUAUAAAACAAUUCGAUCAGAUAGAAUAGACAUACAUCGAAAGAAACACAUGAAUAAAAAAUUAUAUAUAUGCUACCAUUGCGGCAUAUCAUACAAAUACAAAGCUUCAUUAGAAAAGCAUUUGAAGUCUUAUCGUGAUACCUAUUCACAAUUAAUUAAAGAUCACAAUGCAAGAAGGUCAUACAACACCAAGUAACCAACCCAUGAAUAGGAAAAUCAUGAUUAAGACAUUGAAAACGACUAUUUUUAAAAUUAAUUUUGUAAAAAUCAUUUACACAAAAAAUAAAAUUUUAUCUGUACUAACUAUAAUAAAAAGCUCACCAUUAAAUAAAAAUUAAAUAAUUUAAAACUAUUAAAAAUUUUGUCGAUUUAAAUCGAGUAAUUUAAAAUGUUAGAAAUAUUAAUUUAUAAAUAAAAAUAAGAACAGUAUUUUUAAAAUGAAAUUCUUUAAUUUAUUUACUUAUUUAUCACUUAAUUUUCAGUAAUUACUGAAGCUAAAUAAAUAGCCCUGAUAAUUAAAUCAGACUUUAAUUGUUAUAAUUUAUAUGUAUAUAAUUGUAUAGUUGGAUUAGCGAAACUGCGUUUCAUAUAUUUUCGGUUUUUACCACUAUCAUUUAAAUCUAAUAUCAAUGGCUUGCGCCUUGAUGGUGGGGGUAAGAAAUCAAAAAUAUCCGAAACGCAAACUCUCGAUGAUACUGAAGUCAGCCGACGUUUAAUAAUUUUUGGAUUUUUU